rnacentral:rRNA from 1 species
CACGUAGGGCGCGAGCGUUGUCCGGAAUUAUUGGGCGUAAAGAGCUCGUAGGCGGCCUGUUGCGUCCGCUGUGAAAGCCCGGGGCUUAACCCCCGGGUCGGCAGUGGAUACGGGCAGGCUAGAGGUAGGUAGGGGAGAAUGGAAUUCCCGGUGUAGUGGUGGAAUGCGUAGAGAUCGGGAGGAACACCAGUGGCGAAGGCGACUCGCUGGACCGGUCCUGACGCUCAGGCGCGAAAGCGUGGGGAGCGAUCCGG